AGCGAACGCUGGCGGCAGGCUUAACACAUGCAAGUCGAGCGGGCACUUCGGUGUCAGCGGCAGACGGGUGAGUAACACGUGGGAACGUACCCUUUGGUUCGGAAUAACGCUGGGAAACUAGCGCUAAUACCGGAUACGCCCUUUUGGGGAAAGGCUUGCUGCCGAAGGAUCGGCCCGCGUCUGAUUAGCUUGUUGGUGGGGUAAUGGCCUACCAAGGCGACGAUCAGUAGCUGGUCUGAGAGGAUGAUCAGCCACACUGGGACUGAGACACGGCCCAGACUCCUACGGGAGGCAGCAGUGGGGAAUAUUGGACAAUGGGCGCAAGCCUGAUCCAGCCAUGCCGCGUGAGUGAUGAAGGCCUUAGGGUUGUAAAGCUCUUUUGUCCGGGACGAUAAUGACGGUACCGGAAGAAUAAGCCCCGGCUAACUUCGUG
rnacentral:rRNA from 1 species